AUCUAAGUACCUGGAGGAAAAGAAAACAAAAGUGAUUCCCUAAGUAGCGGCGAGCGAACGGGGAGAAGCCUAAACCAAUACUAUGUAAGCCUACAAGCGUUGUAAUAUUGGUGUUGCGGGGCAUAGAAGGGGUGUUUGUAGCCACCCACAAAGACAACAAACGGUAUUCGAACCAAUUGGGAAAUUGGACCGAAGAAGGUGAAAGUCCUGUAGAAGAAACCGUUUCGCGCUUUGCCUAUGACCCCAAGUACGGCGGGACACGUGAAAUCCCGUUGGAAUCCAGGAGGACCAUCUCCUAAGGCUAAAUACUACCUAGCGACCGAUAGUGAACCAGUACCGUGAGGGAAAGGUGAAAAGCACCCCGGGAGGGGAGUGAAAUAGAACCUGAAACCAUAUGCUUACAAGCAGUCGGAGCACGUUAAAAGUGUGACGGCGUGCCUUUUGUAGAAUGAACCGGCGAGUUAUGGUAGCGAGCAAGGUUAAAGUGAGAAACUGGAGCCGAAGCGAA
rnacentral:ncRNA from 2 species